UUAUGCUGAGUUCUGCAUGGAAAGCCAACUUGCACAGACUUGAUUCAUUUAGCCUAAAUAUCAAUCUUAAAAAGCCAUGAACAAUGUGAUCCGUUAAGUUCAGCAUGCCUCAUAGAAUAUCUGAUGUGAACACCCACGGAAGCUGAGACUGAAUGUUCUAGUUAGAAUUCUGCACUUGUUUUUACUUGUGGACAGAAUGUGUGAAUGAUUACACAACUAUUUACAGGUGCAAAAUAAAAAGGUUUAAUGACAACGGGCUAUGACUACAGAAAGGCAGAGUCAGAAAGCAACAGCUCAUUAAUUCUUUUAGAACCUUAAACAGUUUUAUGCUGUGCACUGCAUUCUAAGGAAAUGGUCCCUCUGACUACAGUGUCUCCCACUUGUGACUGCAUGACCACUAAUCUUCCCUAAGCAACCAAACUGCACUCGUGGCAAUUACACUGUUUACAUUGGGUGGUUUGCCUGACAGCCCGUGGAGUGGUUCCAGCUACUGCUGUGGCAUCAAAGAUAGGAAAUGGCUAUAAAGCAGCUCAUAAAGACUAACAGUCAAACUUUCUGCUGUGCUUACAGACAAUGGAGUGCUUAAAGCUAUCAUCACCUGAGAGGUGACAUGGGAUUAGAGAGUGUCUUCUAAAGAAGGGGGUGGAGUCCAUCAGGCAGAACUGUCUAAUACCCUACGGAACUGUACCAGUUUAGUCUUCAAAAGUAUUAGGAUUGUUAAGCCUGGAAAACAGAAGGCUCUGAGGUGACCUAAUUGUGGCCUUCCAGUACCUGAAAGGAGCCUACAAGAAAGGUGGAGAGAGACUUUGUAAAAAGGCCUGAAUGACAGGACAAAGAUGAAUGGCUUCAAACUGAAAGAGAAGCCAGAUGCAGCAAUGUGCAGAAUCAGCUGUAAGAGGAAGGCUUUUCCAGGAAGGAGGACAUCGAGAUUUGGAAGAUCUGCUAUUCCUGGAUUUAUUGCCUAACACUGAACAAGCUAAUCAUUUUGUAUUAUCACUUGGAUGUGAAUUCACAGCUAAACUAAACACCAAAACUGUGCCAGACAUUGGCAGGCUGAUUAAAGACUGCAGAGCAGUUGCAGAGUGCUCUGACCAUGGCUAUAUGAGAUGCUGAUAGCUCUCUGAGACACAGAAUAUGCCACCCAGCACCUUCAUGGGGCUGUGGGGGCUUGUUACAAAGUCUGAGUGAACACAAGAAGGUCAUACAGCUAUGCUGCAG